rnacentral:rRNA from 1 species
UCGGAAGCUAAGAUAGGUUGGGCCUGGUUAGUACUUGGAUGGGAGACCGCCUGGGAAUACCUGGUGCUGUAAGUUU